rnacentral:rRNA from 1 species
AUACGGAGGAUGCAAGCGUUAUCCGGAUUUAUUGGGUUUAAAGGGUGCGUAGGCGGUUUGCUAAGCGGGAGGUGAAAUGCCGGCGCUCAACGUCGGAAGUGCCUCCCGAACUGGUGGACUGGAAUGACUCUGCCGUGGGAGGAAUGUGUAGUGUAGCGGUGAAAUGCUUAGAGAUUACACAGAACACCGAUUGCGAAGGCAUCUCACGAAGGGUUGAUUGACGCUGAGGCACGAAAGCGUGGGGAUCAAACAGGAUUAGAUACCCUGGUAGUCCACGCAGUAAACGAUGAUGGCUAACCGCUGGUUUAUUCGGAUCAGUGGCCAAGCGAAAGCGAUAAGCCAUCCACCUGGGGAGUACGACCGCAAGGUUGAAACUUAAAGGAAUUGACGGGG